GUGCCGUCCCCUCCCCGCCGGCCGUGACCUUGGCAUCCGCCGGCCGCGGGGACGGCGCCGGGGACAGCGCCGGGGGAUGCGAUAGCGGCGGAUCGCACGGGAAUAUUCUCCGGGGAGAGCGAGAGCGGCAGCCUCCUCCCGCGGCCGGGGAGCGGCACGAGAGGCGGAUUUAAGGAGCAUCUUGGCCCCUUUGUUGGGUGAGAAGGACGGCAAGGAGCGGCAGGAUGAGCACCAGCAUUCCCUACCAGCAGAGCCCCUACAGCUCCGGGAGCAGCUCCUCUGCCAUCCAGUGCUACCGCUGUGGGGACACCUGCAAGGGCGAGGUCGUGCGCGUGCAGAGCAACCACUUCCACAUCCGCUGCUUCACCUGCCAAGUGUGUGGCUGUGACCUGGCCCAGUCAGGUUUCUUCUUCAAGAACCAGGAGUACAUCUGCACCCAGGACUACCAGCAGCUGUACGGGACCCGCUGUGACAGCUGUGGGGACUUCAUCACCGGCGAGGUCAUCUCUGCCCUGGGCAGGACCUACCACCCCAAGUGCUUUGUCUGCAGCACCUGCAGGAAGCCGUUCCCCAUCGGGGACAAGGUGACGUUCAGCGGGAAGGACUGCGUGUGCCAGAACUGCUCCCACGCCCUGCUCAGCACCAAGCCCAUCAAGAUCCACGGGCCCAGCCACUGCGCUGGCUGCAAGGAGGAGAUCAAGCAGGGCCAGUCCCUGCUGGCCCUGGAGAAGCAGUGGCACGUCAGCUGCUUCAAGUGCCAAACGUGCGGGGUCAUCCUCACCGGCGAGUACAUCAGCAAGGAUGGCAUCCCCUACUGCGAGUCCGACUACCACGCCCAGUUCGGCAUCAAGUGCGAGACCUGCGACCGCUACAUCAGCGGCCGUGUCCUGGAGGCAGGAGGGAAGCACUACCACCCCACCUGUGCCAGAUGUGUGCGCUGCCACCAGAUGUUCACAGAGGGAGAGGAGAUGUACCUGACAGGCUCUGAGGUGUGGCACCCCAUCUGCAAGCAGGCAGCCAGAGCAGAGAAGAAGCUGAAGCACAGAAGGACGUCAGAAACCUCCAUCUCGCCCCCUGGCUCCAGCAUUGGCUCCCCAAACCGUGUCAUCUGUGCUAAAGUGGAUAAUGAGAUCCUUAAUUACAAAGACCUGGCAGCUCUUCCCAAGAUUAAAGCCAUCUAUGAGGUGCAGCGUCCCGACCUCAUUUCCUACGAGCCCUAUCACAGAUACACGUCGGACGAGACGCUGGAGAGAUAUAGCUAUGGGGAGUCCCUGGGGACCCUCUCCCCAUACUCACAGGACAUCUACGAGAGCUUCGACCCGCGGCAGAGGCGAGCCUCCAGCCCCGGCUACAUCGACUCCCCCACCUACAGCCGCCAGGGCAUGUCCCCCACCAUGCCCAGGUCCCCCCACCACUUCUACCGCUCAGGCACCGAGAGCGGGCGCAGCUCCCCCUACUAUAGCCAGUUAGAUGUGAGGUCCUCCACUCCAACCUCAUACCAAGCGCCCAAGCAUUUCCACAUCCCAGCUGCUGGCGAGAGCAACAUCUACAGGAAACCGCCCAUCUACAAGCGGCACGCCACCAAGAGCAAAACCAGCGAGGACAUCGCUCAGUCAUCCAAGUACAGCCCUGCCUACUCCCCUGACCCCUACUACCACUCUGAGUCUGAGUACUGGUCCUUCCAGGGCUCACCCAAAGCUCCCCGGGCCCGGAGGUUCUCCUCAGGUGGGGAGGAGGACGGGUACGACCGGGGCAUGCACAAGAUCCAGAGUGGCAUCGGGAGGCUGAUCCUGAGGGAGGAGAUGAAGGCUCGCUCCAACUCCUACGCAGACCCCUGGACCCCCCCCCGCAGCUCGGCCAGCAGCAGGGAGGCCCUGCACACCGUGGGCUACGAGGGCUCCCUCAAUGGCUCUCCCCGCACCCAUUACCUGGCUGACAGCGAUCCCCUCAUUUCUAAAUCGGCCUCGCUCCCUGCCUACAGGAGGAACGGGCUGCACAGGCCUCCCAGCGCGGAGCUGUUCCACUACGACAGCACCAACGCCGUCAACUGGGGCAUGCGAGAGUACAAGGUAAGAGCCUUCUGCUGCGAGGAGAGGCCACCAGCCAGAGCCCCAGGGAUGUGUCCGUGUGUCCCCAGGCUCUGCAGAGGGAAACUCAGCCCUCUGCCUUUGUUCUGCUCCAUCCUGGACCUGGCAGCCCCAUCCCAGCGCCGUGGGGCUCACACCAGAGCCCCUUCCCUGCCCAGGUGCUGCUGAGCACAAUUGUCCCCUGGGUGAGGAGCAGAGCAGGGGCUGUGCUGCUCACACCCUGCCUGGGUCACUCCUGCUGGUUGUUCCAGAGCCACCACAGAGCUCCGGGGUGGAUCAGAGUCACCCUGAGAGCAGCUCCCACCUCUCCUUGUCCCACCCGGGCUCUGCAGGCAGCUGUGCCACCCAAGCCCUGUUAAAUGCAGGGGGCAGGAGGCCUUGCCCUUGUUCCCAAGGGUGCCCCAGUGUCCCUGUCCCUGUCCCUGUGCAGAUUUACCCCUACGAGCUGCUCCUGGUGAAGACGAGGGGGAGGAACCAGCUGCCCAAAGACGUGGACAGGACUCGGUUAGAGAGACACCUGUCCCAGGAGGAAUUCUACCAGAUCUUCGGCAUGACCAUGGCCGAAUUCGACCGCCUGGCGCUGUGGAAGAGGAACGAGCUGAAGAAGCAGGCCCGGCUGUUCUGAGCCAGGGCACUAUAAAUAUAUACAUACCUAUAAAUAUAUACAUAGAGAGAUCUCUAUAUGGCAGCUCUGUAUGAUUCUGGGGGCUGCACGGGCCGCUGGGGCCCUCCCUGCACCCCUGAGAGUGAAUUGGAGUCUUGCAGA